rnacentral:lncRNA from 1 species
GGGGUAGUUAAAAAUUCGUUCCUCUUACUUUCAUGUACAUAUGUGUUAUAUAUACAAGAUAGUUAGGUGUUAUAAGUCCAGUGAGUUAGGUUGUUUUAGUGAUGGUUAGACGUCUAAAUUGUGAAUUAUAAGUACUAAGAUUUUUCAUGUAUAUAUUAACGUAUAGAUCAUCAAUCCAGUUGAACCAAAAAAAAAAGAUCAUCAAUCCAAUGGUCGUCAAAAAAACAGACUUAUAUUUUUGGAAAAAGUAGAUGGAAUGGCUGCUAAAAGCCUAAGAAACCUUUGGGAUCAGGUCGUUUUUCUUAGUUGUUCAAAUUAAAACUUGAGGUAGUUAGAUAAAUAGACUAUCUUUGAUAUGGGCCUUCACCAAUUUCACUACAAAACAUGUGAUAUUUUCAGCACCUAUGUAGAUAAUUUUGUAAGCUAUAUCAUGUGCAUAUGAAUGUGAAUGCAGGGGGCUGUAUCAAGAAGAAGAUCAAAUGACAAUGAAGAGGAACGAUCUCGAUCUGUCUCUUGAACCCGUUUACAACUGCAACCUUGGCUGCUUUGCCGCAUGAAGAAGAUCAAUUGACAAUGAGGAGGAACGAUCUCGAUCUGUCUCUUGAACCCGUUUACAACUGCAACCUUGGUGGCUGCUUUGCCGCAUGAAGCAAUUCAAUAAUAAUAUUUAUAAUCAUCAAUAAUAAAACAAUAUGAGCUACAUAUAUAUUUUGGCGAGCCCUUUUUAUCCAACUAAUUAAUAUAUGUGGGCAAGCUCCA